CCGCGGUCUAAUACUGGAUAUGACUCAUCACCGCAUGGUGUGUGGGUGGAAGGAUUUAUUGGUUUUGGAUGGACUCGCGGCCUAUCAGCUUGUUGGUGAGGUAAUGGCUUACCAAGGCGACGACGGGUAGCCGGCCUGAGAGGGUGACCGGCCACACUGGGACUGAGACACGGCCCAGACUCCUACGGGAGGCAGCAGUGGGGAAUAUUGCACAAUGGGCGCAAGCCUGAUGCAGCGACGCCGCGUGAGGGAUGAAGGCCUUCGGGUUGUAAACCUCUUUCAGUAGGGAAGAAGCCUUUUGGGGUGACGGUACCUGCAGAAGAAGCGCCGGCUAACUACGUGCCAGCAGCCGCGGUAAUACGUAGGGCGCAAGCGUUAUCCGGAAUUAUUGGGCGUAAAGAGCUCGUAGGCGGUUUGUCGCGUCUGCCGUGAAAGUCCGGGGCUUAACCCCGGAUCUGCGGUGGGUACGGGCAGACUAGAGUGCAGUAGGGGAGACUGGAAUUCCUGGUGUAGCGGUGAAAUGCGCAGAUAUCAGGAGGAACACCGAUGGCGAAGGCAGGUCUCUGGGCUGUAACUGACGCUGAGGAGCGAAAGCAUGGGGAGCGAACAGGAUUAGAUACCCUGGUAGUCCAUGCCGUAAACGUUGGGCACUAGGUGUGG
rnacentral:rRNA from 1 species